GACGAACGCUGGCGGCGUGCCUAAUACAUGCAAGUAGAACGCUGAAGAGAGGAGCUUGCUCUUCUUGGAUGAGUUGCGAACGGGUGAGUAACGCGUAGGUAACCUGCCUUGUAGCGGGGGAUAACUAUUGGAAACGAUAGCUAAUACCGCAUAACAAUGGAUGACACAUGUCAUUUAUUUGAAAGGGGCAAUUGCUCCACUACAAGAUGGACCUGCGUUGUAUUAGCUAGUAGGUGAGGUAACGGCUCACCUAGGCGACGAUACAUAGCCGACCUGAGAGGGUGAUCGGCCACACUGGGACUGAGACACGGCCCAGACUCCUACGGGAGGCAGCAGUAGGGAAUCUUCGGCAAUGGGGGCAACCCUGACCGAGCAACGCCGCGUGAGUGAAGAAGGUUUUCGGAUCGUAAAGCUCUGUUGUAAGUCAAGAACGAGUGUGAGAGUGGAAAGUUCACACUGUGACGGUAGCUUACCAGAAAGGACGGCU
rnacentral:rRNA from 1 species